AACGAACGCUGGUGGCGUGCUUAACACAUGCAAGUCGAACGAGAAAGUUUCCUUCGGGAAACUAGUAAAGUGGCGCAAGGGUGAGUAACACGUGAAUAAUCUGCCCCCGAGAUCGGGAUAACUUGGCGAAAGCUAAGCUAAUACCGGAUAAGACCACAUUUCAUAAGAAAUGCGGAAAAAGGAGCCUCAACCUCCACUCGAGGAUGAGUUCGCGGACCAUUAGCUUGUUGGUGAGAUAAAAGCUCACCAAGGCUACGAUGGAUAGCCGACCUGAGAGGGUGACCGGCCACACUGGAACUGAGACACGGUCCAGACUCCUACGGGAGGCAGCAGUGGGGGAAUAUUGCGCAAUGGGCGAAAGCCUGACGCAGCAACACCGUGUGAGCGAUG
rnacentral:rRNA from 1 species